GACGAACGCUGGCGGCGUGCUUAACACAUGCCAGUCGAACGGUGAAGCUCCAGCUUGCUGGAGUGGAUCAGUGGCGAACGGGUGAGUAACACGUGAGCAACCUGCCCCUGACUCUGGAAUAAGCGCUGGAAACGGCGUCUAAUACUGGAUACGAGAAGGGUCCGCAUGGGCACUUUCUGGAAAGUUUUUCGGUUGGGGAUGGGCUCGCGGCCUAUCAGCUUGUUGGUGAGGUAAUGGCUCACCAAGGCGACGACGGGUAGCCGGCCUGAGAGGGCGACCGGCCACACUGGGACUGAGACACGGCCCAGACUCCUACGGGAGGCAGCAGUGGGGAAUAUUGCACAAUGGGCGAAAGCCUGAUGCAGCGACGCCGCGUGAGGGAUGACGGCCUUCGGGUUGUAAACCUCUUUCAGCAGGGAAGAAGCGAAAGUGACGGUACCUGCAGAAGAAGCACCGGCUAACUACGUG
rnacentral:rRNA from 1 species